GAGGCAAGAACUACGUCCUAUCAACCUCAAAGGUUCGCUGAUUGCCAAAAAGUAUACUCUCCUCGCUCUUUCCGUCUGUUCCCUGGAGUGGGAGCAGCAGUAGCAUUGGGAAGAGCAAUUUUGCUGUGUUCUGAUCUUUUGCCUUAUGGGCGAACCCUCACCCAGCUCGGUGACAUCACAACUGGAGGGGCAUGAUACAAGAACAGACAAUAAAUAUAGUCACAAUAUCUUGUUACCACUCUUGAGAUGAAAAGACGGGGAAAUAUAAUACAGAUGAUUCAGGCUGGACUGCUCGGGUAGCAAAGGCAUUCUUGAUUUCUAAAACGACGCAUAUCUUGGUAGAGGAGAGGAAUUUCAAGUGUGAGGGGAG
rnacentral:sRNA from 2 species